UGGGGAAUUUUGGACAAUGGGGGAAACCCUGAUCCAGCCAUCCCGCGUGUGCGAUGAAGGCCUUCGGGUUGUAAAGCACUUUUGGCAGGAAAGAAACGUCAUGGGUUAAUACCCCGUGAAACUGACGGUACCUGCAGAAUAAGCACCGGCUAACUACGUGCCAGCAGCCGCGGUAAUACGUAGGGUGCAAGCGUUAAUCGGAAUUACUGGGCGUAAAGCGUGCGCAGGCGGUUCGGAAAGAAAGAUGUGAAAUCCCAGAGCUCAACUUUGGAACUGCAUUUUUAACUACCGGGCUAGAGUGUGUCAGAGGCAGGUGGAAUUCCGCGUGUAGCAGUGCACUGCGUAGAUAUGCGGAGGAACACCGAUGGCGAAGGCAGCCUCCUGGGAUAACACUGACGCUCAUGCACGAAAGCGUGGGGAGCAAACAGG
rnacentral:rRNA from 1 species